GUAGGUGAACCUGCGGAAGGAUCAUUAUCGAGUUUUGAAAGUGGGCUUUGAUGCUGGCGCCUUUGCGGUGCAUGUGCUCGGGCCCCGCUCAUCCACUCAACCCCCUGUGCACUUUUUCGAAGUUUGUUUGUCGGUCCCCCCUGUAACAGGGGAGAAGCUGGAGAGAGAUCUUUAGCCGGGGUCGUCGACGUUCUUCGUUCAUUUACAAACCACUAUUAUUGUCUUGUAGAAUGUAAAGCCUCUUUGUGGGCGAAACUUAAUACAACUUUCAACAACGGAUCUCUUGGCUCUC
rnacentral:misc_RNA from 1 species